CAGCCGCCACGGGAACACGUAGGGUGCGAGCGUUAAUCGGAAUUACUGGGCGUAAAGCGUGCGCAGGCGGUUUUGUAAGACAGGCGUGAAAUCCCCGGGCUCAACCUGGGAAUGGCGCUUGUGACUGCAAAGCUAGAGUGCGGCAGAGGGGGAUGGAAUUCCGCGUGUAGCAGUGAAAUGCGUAGAUAUGCGGAGGAACACCGAUGGCGAAGGCAAUCCCCUGGGCCUGCACUGACGCUCAUGCACGAAAGCGUGGGGAGCAAACAGAAUUAGAUACCCCUGUAGUCCCUGUCUCUUAUAC
rnacentral:rRNA from 1 species